GACGAACGCUGGCGGCGCGCUUAACACAUGCAAGUCGAGCGAGAACCGGGGCUUCGGCCCCGGGGACAGCGGCGAACGGGUGAGUAACACGUGGGUAACCUGCCCUCGGCGCCGGGAUAGCCCGGGGAAACCCGGAUUAAUACCGGAUGGCCCCUCCGACCUUCGGGUCGGCGGGAAAAGGUAGCUUCGGCCUCCGGCCGAGGAUGGGCCCGCGGCGGAUUAGCUUGUUGGUGGGGUAACGGCUCACCAAGGCGACGAUCCGUAGCUGGUCUGAGAGGACGAUCAGCCACACUGGGACUGAGACACGGCCCAGACUCCUACGGGAGGCAGCAGUGGGGAAUCUUGCGCAAUGGGCGAAAGCCUGACGCAGCGACGCCGCGUGAGGGAAGAAGGCCUUCGGGUUGUAAACCUCUUUCAGUAGGGACGAAGCCACUCGGGUGAAUAGCCCAGAGGGUGACGGUACCUACAGAAGAAGCCCCGGCUAACUACGUGCCAGCCGCCGCCGUAAGAC
rnacentral:rRNA from 1 species